UACGAAGGGGGCUAGCGUUGUUCGGAAUCACUGGGCGUAAAGGGCGCGUAGGCGGCUUUAUAAGUCGGGGGUGAAAGCCUGUGGCUCAACCACAGAACUGCCUUCGAUACUGGAGAGCUCGAGUCCGGGAGAGGUGAGUGGAACUGCGAGUGUAGAGGUGAAAUUCGUAGAUAUUCGCAAGAACACCAGUGGCGAAGGCGGCUCACUGGCCCGGUACUGACGCUGAGGUGCGAAAGCGUGGGAGCAAACAGGG
rnacentral:rRNA from 1 species